rnacentral:rRNA from 1 species
AGUGAACGCUGGCGGUAGGCCUAACACAUGCAAGUCGAACGGCAGCACAGUAAGAGCUUGCUCUUACGGGUGGCGAGUGGCGGACGGGUGAGGAAUACAUCGGAAUCUACUUUUUCGUGGGGGAUAACGUAGGGAAACUUACGCUAAUACCGCAUACGACCUACGGGUGAAAGCAGGGGAUCUUCGGACCUUGCGCGAUUGAAUGAGCCGAUGUCGGAUUAGCUAGUUGGCGGGGUAAAGGCCCACCAAGGCGACGAUCCGUAGCUGGUCUGAGAGGAUGAUCAGUCACACUGGAACUGAGACACGGUCCAGACGCCUACGGGAGGCAGCAGUGGGGAAUAUUGGACAAUGGGCGAAAGCCUGAUCCAGCCAUGCCGCGUGAGUGAAGAAGGUCUUCGGAUUGUAAAGCCCUUUAAUUGGGGAGGAAAAGCAGUAGGGGAAUAACCCGCUGUUCUGACGGUACCAAAAGAAUAAGCACCGGCUAACUUCGUG